rnacentral:rRNA from 1 species
CCUACGGGUGGCUGCAGUGAGGAAUAUUGGUCAAUGGGCGGAAGCCUGAACCAGCCAAGUAGCGUGCAGGAUGACGGCCCUACGGGUUGUAAACUGCUUUUAUACGGGAAUAACGCGCCUUACGUGUAGGGCUUUGCAUGUACCUUAUGAAUAAGGACCGGCUAAUUCCGUGCCAGCAGCCGCGGUAAUACGGAAGGUCCGGGCGUUAUCCGGAUUUAUUGGGUUUAAAGUGUGCGUAGGCGGCAUGUCAGGCGUGCUGUGAAAUGUCGGGGCUCAACCCUGGCCGGCCGUUGAAACUGGGGGUCUUGAGUAGGUGAGAGGUAUGCGGAAUGCGUGGUGUAGCGGUGAAAUGCAUAGAUAUCACGCAGAACUCCGAUUGCGAAGGCAGCAUGCCGGGGCACGACUGACGCUGAGGCACGAAAGCGUGGGGAUCGAACAGGAUUAGAUACCCUAGUAGUC